rnacentral:rRNA from 1 species
ACUCCUACGGGAGGCAGCAGUGGGGAAUAUUGCACAAUGGGCGCAAGCCUGAUGCAGCCAUGCCGCGUGUAUGAAGAAGGCCUUCGGGUUGUAAAGUACUUUCAGCAGUGAGGAAGGCGGGUACGUUAAUAGUACGUGCUCGUUGACGUUAGCUGCAGAAGAAGCACCGGCUAACUCCGUGCCAGCAGCCGCGGUAAUACGGAGGGUGCGAGCGUUAAUCGGAAUUACUGGGCGUAAAGCGCAUGCAGGUGGUUUGUUAAGUCAGAUGUGAAAGCCCGGGGCUCAACCUCGGAAU